UUCCUACGGGGCGCAGCAGUUAGGAAUAUUCGUCAAUGGGGGAAACCCUGAACGAGCAAUGCCGCGUGAGUGAUGAAGGUCUUAAUGAUUGUAAAACUCUGUUGUGAAGGAAGAAUAGCCAUCAUAGGUAAUGAUGAUGGUGUGACGGUACUUCACCAGAAAGCUCCGGCUAACUAUGUGCCAGCAGCCGCGGUAAUACAUAGGGAGCAAGCGUUAUCCGGAUUUAUUGGGUGUAAAGGGUGCGUAGACGGGAAAUUAAGUUAGUUGUGAAAUCCCUCGGCUUAACUGAGGAACUGCAACUAAAA
rnacentral:rRNA from 1 species